ensembl:miRNA microRNA let-7d
AAUGGGUUCCUAGGAAGAGGUAGUAGGUUGCAUAGUUUUAGGGCAGGGAUUUUGCCCACAAGGAGGUAACUAUACGACCUGCUGCCUUUCUUAGGGCCUUAUUAU